UCCAAAGAGAGGGCGAGAAAGUAUCCGCAUUGCCUGAUCCGAGUUUGGAUUUCGAAAAACGAAAAUUCGCCGAUUGUCGCGCCGGAAACGCGAAUCUGCUCGAGGUUCGGAGCUGUACUUCGCUGUGGAGCUCCUUCAAUGGCGACCAUCACUGUAGGAGGCAUGGCUAGUGCUACGAGGACGUUCAUUCGCCGCUGCAAUCACAGCUUCAAUGCUACGGAGCUGCGGUCGUUACUUCAGAACCCCGAGCUUCACUGCUCAGUUCUCUCUCGUCGCCUAAACUGCGCACGCCUGCAAGAAACCCUAGCAGCCCCGAACCAAGAACCUCGCUCCGCUCGCCGCCCGAACGUGGUUGAAAUCCUCGAAGAAAGGGGCUUGCUUGAUUCUUCGAUCAGCGAUAAUUUCCGGUCAGCUUGUGUUGAAGGUCCUCUCAAAGUUUACUGCGGCUUCGAUCCCACCGCGGAGAGCUUGCACUUGGGAAACUUGCUUGGGCUCAUCGUGUUAUCGUGGUUCCAGAGAUGCGGCCAUACUGCCGUCGCGUUAAUAGGCGGCGCCACCGCUAGGAUCGGCGACCCUUCUGGGAAGAGCUUGGAGAGGCCCGAGCUGGACGCAUCUACCUUAGAAAAGAACAUCGUCGGCAUUACCAAUACUAUAACUACCAUUCUGAAAAAUUCGAGUCCUCCUGGCGACGAUUCUUCUUUCAUCAUUUUGAAUAAUUAUGAUUGGUGGAAGGAGGUAAAGUUGCUAGAUUUUUUGAAAAGAGUGGGACGUUAUGCGAGGGUUGGUACUAUGAUGGCAAAGGAGAGUGUGAAGAAGAGGCUAGAAUCUGAACAAGGAAUGAGCUACACUGAAUUCACAUACCAGUUAUUGCAGGGCUAUGAUUUCCUAUAUCUGUUUGAGAACAAAAGUGUUAGUGUUCAGAUUGGGGGAAGUGAUCAAUGGGGAAACAUAACAGCGGGGACUGACUUAAUUCGGAAAACUUUGCGCGAAGAAGGAGCGUACGGCUUGACAUUUCCGCUUCUCUUGAAGAGUGACGGGAGCAAGUUUGGGAAGUCUGAGGACGGUGCAAUUUGGCUGUCUCCAUCCGUUUUAUCUCCUUACAAGUUCUACCAGUAUUUUUUCUCAGUCCCGGAUGACGAUGUGGUGAGGUUUCUCAAGAUUCUUACUUUCUUAGACAUGGAGGAGAUAAAUGAGUUGGAGAGGGAUAUGAAGAGACCUGGCUAUGUGCCCAACAUGGCUCAGCGGAAGCUUGCUGAAGAAGUUACUCGGUUUGUCCAUGGGGAAGAAGGCUUAAACGAUGCUCUUAAGGCAACUGAGGCAUUGAAGCCAGGAGCUGAGACAAGAUUGGAUUGGAAGAUCAUCGAGGGGAUUGCUGACGAUGUCCCAUCUUGCUCUUUGGCCUAUGAUCAGGUCUUGAAUCUCUCUCUUGUUGAUCUUUCGGUUUCUACUGGAUUGUUUGAGAGUAAAUCUGCAGCCCGCCGGCUUCUGAAGCAAGGGGGGCUGUACUUGAACAACAGCAGGGUCGUUACUGAAGAAAGAUGGAAGGCUAAAGUUGAGGUUGGAUUUCUUGGUUCUAUGAACUUCUGAAAGCUUUAAUGAAAUCAGCCUAUUGUUAAGAGGCUCUGAAACCCUUCCAUCUCUUGAAAGAUGAAAGCAGCUUGUUGCUGCAGAAGGGCAUGGUAUGGUUCUAUUUUAAUGGCCACGAGAGAUAGUGCGGAUGAUAUGGUGCUUGGCUGGCUGAAGAACAUAUAUCCCUUGCACAGAUGCUCAAUGAUCCCUCAUGGACCAUGUGAUGGAUGAGUUGGAACUUGAAGACAGAUAUAAAGCUCCUGUAGAUGUAUGGUGUUGCAAUGAGAAGCUAAAAAAUACAGAAUUAAUGGACUCUAUUGCUGAUGUAAUUCAUUGUUGUGUUGAAGAUGCUGAAAGGUAUGAAAUUGAAAGUGAAGAUAAAGAUGAAAGCAUGGUGGUUGUACAGGAAAGUAGCGAUGAAUCAGAAGAUUGGGAUUGUGAGACUAUCAUAUGUACAUAUUUGAAUCUUGAUAACCACCCUGGGAAAAUUGAUGCUCCAGAAAUAACCAGAAUAAAAGAAGCUGGCUGAAACUGUGUCUGAAGCUUCGAGCACCACCAAUCCUGUGAUAAUCCUUUGAGGAAAAGAGAAACUUCCUGUCGACUUUUUGCCUGGUGCUAGAAAAGCUACUAAAGAGAAGGUGAAAGGUCUCAAUAGCUUGUGUACUGAGUUGCCGAAGAGGAGACAACAUGGACAGGAGACAAAAGGAGGAAAAGAAAGAGCAGAAGGUGUUUUCUUGCUCCUUGUUUCAGCUUAUUUUUGCACUUUCCAAUUAUUGAAAAUAUCUCCAGCCCGUGAAUUUUGCCACUGUUGUUAGAUAGAUGAAAUAUCCUUUUGUUCAUUGAACAAAAUCUUAUUGAAGAUAAACUAAAAAUGAAAUAAUUCAUUUCUGUCUCUGUAUAUAUAUGCUGAUUGAUGUUCGUUGGUUGACUGGCCCAUUUUUCAUUCAUCUUAUGUAAGAAUUUUUAACUAUAGCAACUUUGUGUGAACUGGAACUGAUGUAUCAAUUGAGACUUUAGAUGGCUACCCUUCUUUGUU